rnacentral:rRNA from 1 species
CGAAGGGGGCUUAGCGUUGUUCGGAAUUACUGGGCGUAAAGGGCGCGUAGGCGGCCGUUUAAGUUAGAUGUGAAAGUCCUGGGCUCAACCUGGGGACUGCAUUUAAUACUGGAUGGCUUGAAUUCGGGAGAGGAUAGCGGAAUUCCCAGUGUAGAGGUGAAAUUCGUAGAUAUUGGGAAGAACACCGGUGGCGAAGGCGGCUAUCUGGACCGACAUUGACGCUGAGGCGCGAAAGCGUGGGGAGCAAACAGGAUUAGAUACCCUGGUAGUCCACGCCGUAAACGAUGAGUGCUAGACGUUGGGAAGCUUAGCUUUUCAGUGUCGCAGCUAACGCAUUAAGCACUCCGCCUGGGGAGUACGGUCGCAAGAUUA